rnacentral:rRNA from 1 species
CAGUAGCCGCGGUAAUACGUAGGUGGCAAGCGUUGUCCGGAUUUAUUGGGCGUAAAGCGAGCGCAGGCGGUUUCUUAAGUCUGAUGUGAAAGCCCCCGGCUCAACCGGGGAGGGUCAUUGGAAACUGGGAGACUUGAGUGCAGAAGAGGAGAGUGGAAUUCCAUGUGUAGCGGUGAAAUGCGUAGAUAUAUGGAGGAACACCAGUGGCGAAGGCGGCUCUCUGGUCUGUAACUGACGCUGAGGCUCGAAAGCGUGGGGAGCGAACAGGAUUAGAUACCCCCGUAGUCCCUGUCUCUUAUAC